rnacentral:rRNA from 1 species
CACGUAGGGGGCAAGCGUUGUCCGGAUUCAUUGGGCGUAAAGAGCUCGUAGGCGGUUCGAUAAGUCGGGUGUGAAACCUCCAGGCUCAACCUGGAGACGCCACCCGAUACUGUCGUGACUAGAGUCCAGAAGGGGAGACUGGAAUUCCUGGUGUAGCGGUGAAAUGCGCAGAUAUCCGGAGGAACACCGGUGGCGAAGGCGGCUUCCUGGACCGACACUGACGCUGAGGCGCGAAAGCUAGGGGAGCAAACGGG